UACGUAGGGUGCGAGCGUUAAUCGGAAUUACUGGGCGUAAAGCGUGCGCAGGCGGUUUUGUAAGACAGAUGUGAAAUCCCCGGGCUUAACCUGGGAACUGCAUUUGUGACUGCAAGACUAGAGUGCGGCAGAGGGGGGUAGAAUUCCACGUGUAGCAGUGAAAUGCGUAGAUAUGUGGAGGAACAUCGAUGGCGAAGGCAGCCUCCUGGGAUAACACUGACGCUCAUGCACGAAAGCGUGGGGAGCAAACAGG
rnacentral:rRNA from 1 species